AAAAAAUGUUUGAGGUUUAAAAGUAUCUGAAAUUCUAAACCAAUACAGUAAGAAGUUACUCAGAUGUGCCUUUGUCGUGUUUGUAGGUAAAAGAGGAGACAACGGUAUACUAGGAGAAAAAGGUGAACCAGGGCUAUCAGGUUUACCAGGU